CAUGAAUAGAGAUUAAAUUAGGUGCAGACAGUAGUUAUAUACUGUAACUGAAUCAGAAACAGUACAAUGUUCACACACAAAAAAAAAUAAAUUUGAACAAGUGACUCAAAUUCACAAAAUGUGUUCAUUUUCAUAAAUGUUUGCAUGAUAAAAUCAAAAAUAAAGGAAUACUGUAUUACAGCAAAAAUACUGUGCAGACAUUUUUCUGGCACUAUUUCCUCAGUGACAUUAUCCCACUGGAAUAGCAGUGGCGUAGUGUUACAACCCCGCGUGUUGCCACAGUGGAAUACAGAUAGAGAACAGCUCAGCGUUUGCUACCGGGGGAUUUUAGCUGUCCAAAUCUUUGACAGUUUCUUAGCAGCUCUCGGCCCUAAACUGUGAAAGAUUCCAAAGACAGAUAGAACCCCCCCCCCCACGCCCUCCACCAACCUCCACACCCCCACCAUAUCAGCCAGUAUCAUUGAUAAAGACAGCCUUUCAGGGAUGACACUGAUAGCUGCUCCAAAACCAUUCGAAAAGUGAUUUGCCUGCCAUUUUAGCUGCUGCUGCCCUCUUUAUGAUGCACACGUGUCCAGGAAGACAACGAGUCUGCUUUUACAGAAGGAAUUAGGAAGGACCUUAAAAGGUUGCAAAUAGGUAGUCACAUUUUCAACAAUUUCUAUACAUGACAUAUUGCAUGCAAUUAACCUUUAUAUUAUUAAGCUUUGAAUUUGUUGUAGUGGCUCAAUUUAAAAGUAAUUUCAUUUUCAACAAAAUACACUUAUUACAGCGUCAUGUUGAUUUAAGAUGCAAGUGAACAUCUCAAGAAUUACUGCAAUCGCCUGUUCAGUCCUGGUUGCAGAAAUUCUUCACAAAGCAUUUAGAUCAUAUGGCAUAAAGGAUCUGCUCUAUGUUGUUAGGUGCAGUGUUGUGAGGACUUGCUAUGUGCCUUUGCAAAAAAACUGAAACUGUGUUUUUUAUAUAAAGAAAAUAAGACCUUAUGUGAAAUACAAUUUAAAACGUAUUUAAUACUUUGGUUUUUCACCAAAGCGAGGUUUAAACAUUCAAUCAGCUGUUAAUUUGAAAAAGGCACUUUUAGGCGCAAAAUUUAAAAGACAUUUUUUUCAAAAACUAUAAAAAAAUGUUUGAUGAUAACUUUAAAUUACUGCAUUUAAAGGCCAACUCCAGCAAUCAAAUAUGUAGACGUUGUCCUUAUUCCUCUGCUCCUGCAUCCCUUCACCCCUCCUGAGGCCUUCAUCCCCAUCUUCAGUCCAAAUGAAUGACGCCAGCUGGGGUCGGCCGGCUGAUGCUGGGCCCUGUUAGGUGGCACUGACAGCUGAAUUAUCCCACAGGCCACGGUAGCUGAUUAUCAGCGGAGAAGUCAUCAGGGCAUCCCAGCCUCGCCUCCAACCCCCACAUCCUCUUCCCCACACCCCUGUCACCCCUUGUCAAGAGAGCAACGCUUUCUCCAAGCUCACUGUCCAGGUCCUCUUGACAGGUAAUCUCAACAAUAACAAUUACCACCAUUACUGGUGUCAUAAACAAGUGGCCAACCCCAAGCCAGGCAAUAACAAAGGCUUUAUAAUUCACCAUGCAAGGCCUUAUAAAUACAUGUCAACAGGUAAGAAGUGUGAAGUAAAGAAGAUGAGUACUGGUGCUCUCAGGCACUGAAGUAAAACUGUGUAUUUGAGUAUGUUGGUUGAGAGGAGCGUUGUUGGUAAAAGCUGAGGAUACAGCAGGAAACUGAAAUCAAAGCUGCAGACAGAUGUAAAUAUAAUCACAUGAGGAAAAGGGAUUUUAGAUUUUGAAUAUAUUUUAUUAGGUGCAAGUCUGAUUUAUUUAUUUACUUACAUGUUUAAAUGUAGCCAGAAGUGCAGUGAAGCAGUUUUGUCUGAUUUUUCUAUCGAUGAAGCCAUUUUAUCUGAGAAUAGCAUUGACUUUAUUAUUGAUUUAGCAAUAGAGGCAAUAUUUCACUGUAAAUCUUGGAUUAUCAGAGAAAAAAUGAAGGAACUCUAAUUCAUCAAAUAAAAUAUCUUCCCAUCUUACAUAUUGACAACCAAGCAAACAAAUCCCAAACAGAGGCAUUAUAAUUUAUUUUUAAUGAUCUCAAUUUGAUUUAAGAAAUAAGUGAUGUGAAAUUAAGUGAAACAUCACUGUGUUUCAAUCAUUUAAAAUGUAUACUUCUAUCAAUAAACUAUAUUUCCAGCUUUAUUUAAUACAGUUCCAAAUUCUCUUUAAAUGUUUUAUUACUUUAAUGUUUUUUUAAGAUAUCCUUUUUUCCCUCCGUGCAUGCUCUCUUGUUUUCCACAUAUAUAUAUAUUUUGCAUCAGAGUAUUCCACCCAAGCGAUUCGAGCCUUACCAUUUGAAGUUUGGGCCAGCUUGCUUCCUUUCCUCAGCAAAGCAAACAAGGCGCUGUGGCCCGGAGCGCUAAAAUAAUUUGAGACUCCCUGAUGAGGAGAGCUGAGCAGCAAUUAACACGUGUCAAAGUCGACAUCAUCAGAUUGAAGAAAAGGAAAGAAGAAAAGGAGGAGGAGGCGUUUUUGUUGCUAUUCUUCUGACCUGAGCUGCUCAUCUUCCUCAGAGCUCAGCGGGAGCUCGGCCAGCACUUGCCUUGCCUACCCAGGGUCCUUUUGAAUCCUGCUGGUCCUUGCCGCCAUGAAUCCAUACCUGUGGUGGUGGUGGCUGCUGAUGAUGGCAUGCUGUUGUCCAAAAUCAACCAGAUGAGGGUGAGAAGAUUGGGAGGGAAGGGAGGGGGGGCGGACAGAGGGAAAAAAGACGGGAUGUAUUGGGAGAAAGGGCAACAGUGUCU
ensembl:lncRNA